UACGGAGGGUGCUAGCGUUGUUCGGAAUCACUGGGCGUAAAGAGCGCGUAGGCGGAAGAUUAAGUUAGACGUGAAAGCCCCGGGCUUAACCUGGGAUGUGCGUUUAAGACUGGUCUUCUUGAGGGAAGAAGGGGAGAGUGGAAUUCCUAGUGUAGAGGUGAAAUUCGUAGAUAUUAGGAGGAACACCAGUGGCGAAGGCGACUCUCUGGUCUUCAACUGACGCUGAGGCGCGAAAGCGUGGGGAGCAAACAGG
rnacentral:rRNA from 1 species